rnacentral:misc_RNA from 1 species
GGCCAGCACCAGCAUAACCUUCCAAAUCUUCCCCAUUGGAAUCAGAUCGGAAGAUGAUAGAUCUUUUUAUGAAAAGGCCGAUCGGUUUGCUUGGGUAACCUAACACUUGAGGAGAGUUGAGAUCCUUUUUCUUGCAGAUGAAACUCAAAGCACGUCCUGGAUAAGCUCCAACAAGUGUUUCCCCAAGGCCCCUGACCACCUCGGCAUAUAUUUCUGAGUCGUCUCCGGAAGAUGGGUUGGUUGUGUGAAUGACAAAUGCAUAAUCAGCAUUUAUU